UGGGGAAUAUUGCGCAAUGGGCGGAAGCCUGACGCAGCGACGCCGCGUGAGGGAUGAUGGCCUUCGGGUUGUAAACCUCUUUCAGCAGGGACGAAGCGAGAGUGACGGUACCUGCAGAAGAGC
rnacentral:rRNA from 1 species